rnacentral:pre_miRNA from 1 species
UUAACUCAAAUUUGUAUGGAGUUGGAACGUUUGCCGCUAGAGGCGCUGUUCCAACUCCAUUCAAAUUUGAGUUA